GACGUAGGAGGCGAGCGUUAUCCGGAUUCACUGGGCGUAAAGCGCAUGUAGGCGGUUGUGUAAGUCCGAUGUUAAAGCCCCUGGCUCAACUGGGGGAGGUCAUUGGAGACUACUCGACUUGAGGGCAACAGAGGCACGUGGAACUCCCGGUGUAGCGGUGGAAUGCGUAGAGAUCGGGAAGAACACCGGUGGCGAAGGCGGAUCUCUGGGCCAUUACUGACGCUGAGGAGCGAAAGCGUGGGGAGCGAACAGG
rnacentral:rRNA from 1 species